rnacentral:rRNA from 1 species
UACGAGAGCCUCAAGCGUUAUCCGGAAUUAUUGGGCGUAAAGGGUGCGUAGGCGGCGCGGUAAGUCGGGUGUGAAAUCUCGGAGCUUAACUCCGAAACUGCAUUCGAUACUGCCGUGCUUGAGGACUGGAGAGGAGACUGGAAUUUACGGUGUAGCGGUGAAAUGCGUAGAUAUCGUAAGGAAGACCAGUGGCGAAGGCGGGUCUCUGGACAGUUCCUGACGCUGAGGCACGAAGGUCAGGGGAGCAAACGGG